rnacentral:rRNA from 1 species
CCUACGAGUGGCAGCAGUGGGGAAUAUUGCGCAAUGGGCGAACGCCUGCCGCAGCGACGCCGCGUGAGGGAUGAAUGUCUUCGGAUCGUAAACCUCUGUCAGCAGGGCAGAAAGGUCACUGUGCUAAUCCGCAGUGAAUUGCCGGUACCUGCAAAGCAAGCGCUGGCUAACUCCGUGCCAGCACCCGCGGUCAUACGGAGGGUGCGAGCGUUAAUCGGAAUUACUGUGCGUAAAGCGCUCGUGUGCGGGAUGUCCAGUCAAGGGUGAAAUCCGCGCGGUCAACGUGGGACCUGCCUUUGAGACGGGCAAACUGGAGUGUGAUAGAGGAUAGUGGAAUGCCAGGGGUAGCAGUGAAAUCAGUAGAUA